rnacentral:rRNA from 1 species
GACGAACGCUGGCGGCGUGCUUAACACAUGCAAGUCGAACGGAAAGGCCCUGCCGUUGUCGGGCGCUCGAGGGACGAACGGGUGAUUCACCCGAACGUAACCUGCGGUUGGGUUUGGGAUAACUAAAGGAAACCGGGGAUAACACCGGAUCGGAGGUUCUGAGGCAUGGUGGGGGUUGGAAAGUUUCGGCGGGUGGGGUUGGACUCGCGGCUUAUCAGCUUGUUGGUGGGGUAGGGGCUUACCAAGGCUUUGACGGGUCGCCGGCCUGUGAGGGUGACCGGCGCCAAUGGGACUGAGGUAGGGACCAGACUCCUACGGGAGGCAGCAGUGGGGAAUAUUGCACAGUGGGCGGGAGCCCGAUGCAGCGGCGCCGCGUGCGGGAUGACGGCCUUCGAGUAGUAAAACGGUUUCCCCUGUGACGAAGCGUGAGUGACGGUAAUGGGUAAAGAAGCACCGGCUAACUACGUG